CCUACGGGAGGCAGCAGUCGAGAAUCAUUCACAAUGGGGGAAACCCUGAUGGUGCGACGCCGCGUGGGGGAAUGAAGGUCUUCGGAUUGUAAACCCCUGUUAUGUGGGAGCAAAUUAAAAAGAUAGUACCACAAGAGGAAGAGACGGAUAACUCUGUGCCAGCAGCCGCGUUCAUACAGCGGUCUGAAGCGUUGUUCGGAAUCACUGGGCGUAAAGGGUGCGUAGGCUGUUUCGUAAGUCGUGUGUGAAAGGCGCGGGCUCAACCCGCGGACGGCACAUGAUACUGCGAGACUAGAGUAAGGGAGAGGGAACCGGAAUUCUCGGUGUAGCAGUGAAAUGCGUAGAUAUCGAGAGGAACACUCGUGGCGAAGGCGGGUUCCUGGACAUUAACUGACGCUGAGGCACGAAGGCCAGGGGAGCGAAAGGGAUUAGAUACCCGGGUAGUC
rnacentral:rRNA from 1 species